rnacentral:snRNA from 1 species
GGAUGUGACGGCAAUCUGGCUGCGACAUCUGUCACCCCAUUGAUUGCCAGGGUUUAUUUGCUGAUCUGGCUGGCUAGGCGGGUGCCCCCUUCCACCCUCACCGCUCCAUGUGUGUUCCUCCCAAAGCUGUGACUUGGUCGAAGAGGUCGGCCUUCCCCAAAUAGAGACUGACCCGUCUUAGUACAGGGUAUACGAGUAGCUGUGCUCCCCUGCUAGAACCUCGAAGACAAGCUCAAAAAAUACAUAGGUACUGUAUUUUAAAAAUAUUUUAUUUAAUAAAAAU